GACCAUUCCUAAACAACCUAAGGCUCAACCUAGGCAAAAUAAAAUAAAUGCUAACACUCAACAUAGAAUAAUAAUCCUAGAAUCGCUAUGCAUCCUAGAAUUAACACUAGAAGAAAUGUUGAGCAAUUUAGAACACCUAGAAAAGAUCUUCGAAAAUUGCAACCUAGAAAUACUCAACCUAGAAAUAAUUAUCCUAGGAUCGCUAUAUAUCCU
rnacentral:lncRNA from 1 species